rnacentral:lncRNA from 1 species
UCAAUACAUUUUAGUCAUUAGCAUUGUUAGGCCCUUAGAAAAAUGGCUCACAGCUUUCAACUCCUAAUGUUAUAUGCAUGCAUUAUUGAAUUUGCUCUUUGCACUUACAUUAAAUUAUGAUCCCAUUAGCAAGGAGUUAAAUAGGUUUGAGCUACAUUUGUGAACUACGUGGUUAUAAAUACACUCUCAGAGGUGGCUUCUAGCAGCUAAGCACUGCAUAACUCUGCAAAUCAUUGCAGCUUCUUCUGUGAAGAUGAGGGUCACUUGGACACUCAGAGUUUAGUAAUGCCAACAGUCGAAGGGUAUGGAAACAACUCUCAGCGGUCCAAAGGCAAAAAUGUUUUAAAUGACAUAAAUCUUAUUCUGCACUCCUACAUGCAGGAACUCCUGUGAAAAAUGGGGAGGUAGAGCAUUUUUAAUGACUCCGUACACCUGUACAUUUUAGGACAUGUUUGGAACUGUCACAGCCUCCAAUAGCUGGCACAGACAAGUAAAUCCCUUCACUACAUAUAUCCAAAGAUAACUAGUUUAAAAAGAAUGCAAAAAGCUACAUGUUAAAUCCUUCACUCAGCAAGGCUUCUUCUCUCUUUCUUAACUGUCAAUUGACUCCAACAAACCUGUGCAGUGAUAUCUGUGCCUGCCUGCACAUACUUCUUAUGCAGAGUGAUACUAUGGCUUCUCUGAGAGAGGCUGGAAUGAGACACUAGUGACUGAUUACCAUGACUACCUGAAGUAGUCUCAGUUUAAAGAUGGACAGGAAAAUGGAGAAUAUCAUUCUCUCUCCUCUGGGCUGAUGAUAUUCCAGCCCAGAAAGGUACCAAGAAGCAAGAAUUAGUACCUUUAAAACAAGUGUUUAGAUGCAGAAUUAGGUGGCAGAAAUUUUUCCAGCUUCAUUUAUGACCAUUUCCAUUUUCAUUGCCUAGGUAUUAUAUUGUCAGAGCAGGUUUCAUAUUACAUUUAUAAACUUACCAUCCUUGUUCGUAUAUUUCUUUGGCUUUUUUGUGCAAUCUUUUCUUUUUCUAUACCCUACAUAUUGACACAUAUAUCUAUCCUUCCUAAGGACACCACUGAAGAUCUUCUGGACUCAUUAAUUACCCAACCAUUUGCCAGUUCAGUAUCUCUAUUCAGAAACAGAAAGUGCAGUCUUUUAGAUCAGAGUAUAUCAUCCAGUCUCUCAGAUAGAUAACACACUACACCAUGGGUUUCUAUCCAGAGUCAUAUCCCUAAUUUAAACUUCUUUCUUAUCACAUCUAGGGUCACCAGAUUACCUGGGGACAUCAUCUUGGUAAUGCAUUUACUAGACUCAAAUUCUCCUUUUUUGCCCUGUAAGGAGCCUCAGCACCCCCACUUAACUCCAUUGAACACAGCAUGGCUCCAAGCUGCUUCAUUUAUUAUUCUAAGUACUUGAGGACAUCAAAACAUUUAAAAUAAACUUGGCAGUAGUUUUAAUCAAAAGGCUUAUUUAUUUGGGUCUUACAAGAGAGAUUCUGCAUUCACAGAAAAAAAUAAAUAAACAAUGGUAUUCUAAUCCUUAAGCUGUGCCCAUGUAUAAAGUUUGCCAUUGCGAAGACAACACUGCUUCUUUAAAAUGGCAGACCCUGAAAUUUGACACCCAUCUCCUGGAGGGGCUGUGCUGGACAGUGUGCACAGUGAGUCCUUUGUAGCUGAGUUAGUGUCAGGUAUGGAUGGCUGAAACAAGCAAAUUUAUUUUAUCAUCUAAUCAUAUUUCCUUUGUAAAUACAAUUCAUGCCAGGCUUGCUGGCACAUAUCUAUGGUCACAGUUCUUGGGAGGUAAAACAGAAAGAUGACAAACUCAACAUCAGCCUCAGCUAAAUAUACAGGCAUUUGUUUUGGAGUCUAAUGACGAGAGUUCAAUCUCCAGAACCCAUGUGAAAGUCAAAGGACCUGACCACGUGUGUCAAGGCACACACACACACACACACACACACACACACACACACACUUUCAAGAAUAAACAUUUUUCUAAAAAAAAUUAAUUAUCAAAGCCUUAUACAUUAUUCUUCCUAAAUUAAAGGAUAAUAAAGAAAUGGCAGUCCCUAUCUGUCCUCCACACUCAGGAGUGAGCAUCCUGAUACAGGUCAGGAUUAUCUUCAUGUAUUUUUAGAGAUUCUGUAAUUCACAUAUGCCCAAGCACGCACUCCACAUCUGCUUGAUUAUCUACCCUGAUAAUAAUUUUUAUGACUUCCAUGCCAUAAAACAUUUUCUUCCCCGGAGAACUUUAUAUUCUUGCCCCAAGCCCCAAAUCUU